rnacentral:rRNA from 1 species
UAGUAAAAUUUUAAAAGUAUUCCCUGCCCUAUGAUUAAUUAAAUGGCUGCAGUAUCCUGACUGUGCAAAGGUAGCAUAGUAAUUAGUCUUUUAAUUGGAGUCUUGUAUGAAUGGGUUAAUGAGAUAUUAAUUUUAUUUUUAAUAAUUUUAUAAUUUAAUAUGUGUGUAAAAAAGCUCACUUUUUUUUUUGGGACGAUAAGACCCUAUAGAACUUUAUUUUUGGUAUAAUUUAUAUUAUUUUAGUUUUAAGUUAAUUUAUUUAUAUUAAAAUUUUAAUUGGGGUGAUUAAUAAAUUAAACUUUAUUUUAUAUUUUCAUUAAUUUAUGUAUUUAUUGAUCCAUUUUAGAUGAUUUUAAGAUUAAGUUACCUUAGGGAUAACAGCGUAAUUUUAAUGGGGAGUUCAUAUUUAUAUUAAAGUUUGCGACCUCGAUGUUGAAUUAAGAUAAGAUUGAGGGGUAG